CAAGCGGUGGAUGAUGUGGUUUAAUUCGAUGCAACGCGAAAAACCUUACCCACCUUUGACAUGGCAGGAAUCCUUCAGAGAUGAAGGAGUGCUCGAAAGAGAACCUGCACACAGGUGCUGCAUGGCUGUCGUCAGCUCGUGUCGUGAGAUGUUGGGUUAAGUCCCGCAACGAGCGCAACCCUUGCCAUUAGUUGCUACAUUUAGUUGAGCACUCUAAUGGGACUGCCGGUGACAAACCGGAGGAAGGUGGGGAUGACGUCAAGUCCUCAUGGCCCUUAUAGGUGGGGCUACACACGUCAUACAAUGGCUGGUACAAAGGGUUGCCAACCCGCGAGGGGGAGCUAAUCCCAUAAAGCCAGUCGUAGUCCGGAUCGCAGUCUGCAACUCGACUGCGUGAAGUCGGAAUCGCUAGUAAUCGUGGAUCAGAAUGUCACGGUGAAUACGUUCCCGGGUCUUGUACACACC
rnacentral:rRNA from 1 species